GUACACUCCUGCGGGAGGCAGCAGUGGGGAAUUUUGGACAAUGGGCGAAAGCCUGAUCCAGCAAUGCCGCGUGAGUGAAGAAGGCCUUCGGGUUGUAAAGCUCUUUUGUCAGGGAAGAAACGGUGAGAGCUAAUAUCUUUUGCUAAUGACGGUACCUGAAGAAUAAGCACCGGCUAACUACGUGCCAGCAGCCGCGGUAAUACGUAGGGUGCAAGCGUUAAUCGGAAUUACUGGGCGUAAAGCGUGCGCAGGCGGUUUUGUAAGUCUGAUGUGAAAUCCCCGGGCUCAACCUGGGAAUUGCAUUGGAGACUGCAAGGCUAGAAUCUGGCAGAGGGGGGUAGAAUUCCACGUGUAGCAGUGAAAUGCGUAGAUAUGUGGAGGAACACCGAUGGCGAAGGCAGCCCCCUGGGUCAAGAUUGACGCUCAUGCACGAAAGCGUGGGGAGCAAACAGGAUUAGAAACCCUGGUAGUCCCAU
rnacentral:rRNA from 1 species